rnacentral:rRNA from 1 species
UACGUAGGGGGCAAGCGUUGUCCGGAAUUAUUGGGCGUAAAGCGCGCGCAGGCGGUUCUUUAAGUCUGGUGUCUAAGUGCGGGGCUCAACCCCGUGAUGCACUGGAAACUGGGGAACUUGAGUGCAGAAGAGGAGAGCGGAAUUCCACGUGUAGCGGUGAAAUGCGUAGAGAUGUGGAGGAACACCAGUGGCGAAGGCGGCUCUCUGGACUGUAACUGACGCUGAGGAACGAAAGCGUGGGGAGCGAACAGG